rnacentral:rRNA from 1 species
GACAGAGGGUGCAAACGUUGUUCGGAAUUACUGGGCGUAAAGCGUGUGUAGGCGGUGAGUUAAGUCUGUUGUGAAAGCGCCCGGCUCAACCGGGCAGAGUCAAUGGAAACUAGCGCACUGGAGGUCGGUAGAGGCGAGUGGAAUUCCCGGUGUAGUGGUGAAAUGCGUAGAGAUCGGGAGGAACACCAGUGGCGAAGGCGGCUCGCUGGGCCGGACCUGACGCUGAGACGCGAAGGCGUGGGGAGCGAACGGG